CCUACGGGUGGCAGCAGUGGGGAAUAUUGCACAAUGGGGGAAACCCUGAUGCAGCGACGCCGCGUGAGUGAAGAAGUAAUUCGUUAUGUUAAGCUCUAUCAGCAGGGAAGAAAAUGACGGUACCUGAGUAAGAAGCCCCGGCUAACUACGUGCCAGCAGCCGCGGUAAUACGGAGGGGGCAGGCGUUAUCCGGAUUUACGGGGGGUAAAGGGAGCGUAGUCGGCAGUGCAAGUCUGGAGUGAAAGGCGGGGGCUCAACCCCCGGACUGCUCUGGAAACUGUCCGGCUGGAGUGCAGGAGAGGUAAGUGGAAUUCGUGGUGUAGCGGUGAAAUGCGUAGAUAUUAGGAAGAACACCGGUGGCGAAGGCGGCAUACGGGACUGUAACUGACGUUGAGGCUCGAAGGCGUGGGGAGCGAACAGGAUUAGAUACCCCUGUAGUC
rnacentral:rRNA from 1 species